UGGACCAUUGCCAAAAACUGCUACGGGGAAGAUUCAAAAGCAUGUGUUAAGGGCCAAGGCCAGAGAGAUGGGGCCUGUCAAAAAGAGCAAGUUGUAGAAAAUGAGACUUGGCAUCUUUUUGAUGGCUGAAUAAAAAAAUAACUCCUGUGGAUGGUUUUAGUUUAAAUUUCAGCAACCCCACAUGUAGAAUCACACACUAGAUAAAUUAUAUUGGUAGCUCAAAUUAAAAUAGAAGUAUGAAGCGAUCAACAA
rnacentral:misc_RNA from 1 species